AUGUGGUGGUAAAGUGCAUUUGCUCCAGGAAAUCGACCGUAUGAUUUGUGGGCGAUGCGGAGCGGUGUUGAUGACAAAAUUUGAUUUUGUUGAUAAAUGAUAGGACGUCGACGAUGAUAACAAAAAUAACGCUAAGUUUUUCUAUUAUUCGAGUACUUAGGUAGAAGAGGAGUUUCUAACAUAAUAAUAUCGUAUUCAAUAUUAGUUUGUAUUUUAUUCUAUUCCAAUUAUUGCUCAUUGUCAACUGGUAAUUUUAACAAUAAUUGUAUUAACGCAGCAUUUACUUAAAAUGUUGCGAAAAGUAUAUUCCUAUUUUAUAGGCUUUUGCAGGGAUUAACUAUAUUACUCAGUUGUAUUCUUAUUGUUCCGUUUCUUUCAUAAAAUAUAGCACAUCUAGGCAUUUAGCUCAUAGGAAUUAAGUUGAUAAUAUUUAAAUAAAAUCGUCACUUUGUAUGGUCGACCAAUAAAAGUGCAAAAGCAGACACUUUGUAUGGUCGGGUAUAAAAGUACAUUGCUGAUUGCGGAUACUUUGUACAGUUGGGUAAAAAUGUUCAAUUCUGACCGCAGACAGUUUGUACUAUUAUAUACAUAAAACAUAAGUAGUGUAAAUACAAGUUAUAUAUCUAAGUAGUAAGUAUAAAUAAUGUCAAUUAUUAAAAUGUAAAAAUUAAAAAUUAAAACAAAAAGUAAAUUAAAAGAACAAUAGUCAUAAUAAUCAGUUUUUUAACAAACUGGUUAGAUAACAGCCAAAUAUUACUUGGUGCUAUAAUAUAUUUUUAAUUAAUUUAGGAACUUGAUGACCUAAAAAUCUUGAAAUUAUCAAAAAAAUCAAACAUGAUUAUAAAUUAUAAUAAUUGUAUUACAUUAUUACCAAAUGUUAUGUUAAAAAGUAAAUUAAAAAUGUGUACAGUAUGGCGAAAUGACAAAUAAAAAUUACUUUUGAUAGGUAAUAAUUCUCUCCUAUUUUGAAUGUAUAAGAUAAUUAAAUCUACCAAAUAAUAUUUAAGCUUAAUAACAUGGUCUGUUCAUGACUUCUGACAUGUUUAUAUUAAAUAUAAUAUAUUUUAUGUAUAUUAGUAUAAAGUGUCCGUGUUCUGCAAUUUAAAGUUUUACCUGAUCGUGCAAAGUGUCCGCAUUCUGCAAUCUACCUUUUUACCUGACCGUACAAAUUGUCCGGGUUAUGCAUUUUAAACAAUCAACCGUACAAAGUGUCAUUUUACCUAAAUAUUUGUAUGCUUACAUAUUAUAACAAAAUAAUUGGUCGUUGCUAUUUGUUUCCAUUAAAUUAUUACUUCCUCUCACUGUUUCCACUGUUAAUAUUUUAAUAUUUAACUAUUUAAAAUAACUAUUUAGAUAAUUAAAAUGUUGAGAUACAGAGGAAAUAAAUUAACACUUAAUACCUAUUGUAAAAUAAUUGGAUUCAUUUCCUAAGGUUUAAGAAUAAAUUUAUGAACCAUUUGUUUAUAGUAAUGUUACACUGACAGUUAGGAUUAUGGUUAUUGAUUUCUGAAAUACAAUAUGUUUUACAAGAACAUUAUAUAUACAGAUUUGUACCAGACACGGACUAUGAAUCUAAACUUCCAAUUAACAUAGAUAUUACUGUUACAUCAACUUGUGAUAGUUAGGUUAGGUUUGCUGAUAUUGUUGAUACAACAGGACAAAAUAUGAUGUUAUUUGGAGAAUUAAAAACUGAUGAUACUUGGUGGGAAAUGACAAAAGAAUUGACACAACAUUUCGAAAAAAUGCGUGUAUUCAAUGCAUAUUUAAGAGAAGAAUAUAAUUCAAUGAAUGACAUAUUAUGGAUUUUUGAUAAUUAUAAUACAUUAAAAAAUAAAAUAUCUGUUAAUAGGUACUACAGGAAAUCUAUUUGUUUGCUUCAAACUUGCUUCAAGCUUCUGGAAUUAGAUGAUCAUAUUCAAACAGUUGUCCGUGAUAUUGGAAAACAUGGGAUGGAUAUAGAAUAUGAGUUGAGUAUGGAAAUUGGAAGCCCUGUGCAUGGACUAUUGAUCGAUUCUUAGCUUUCCGAAGAACUGUAUUCAUUAUAUUGGCAUGCAGAAAUUAUUUCUGAAGCUUCCUCCUUUAUACGCAAUAGAGAAUUGCUGGAGGACAAUGUGCCAUAGACUUAUCAAAAGUGAAACUAGACAAGACAUCUUCGGGUAAGAUUUGUGUGUCCAUGUAUUACAACAAAACUGCAUGCAUCAGGAUGAACUUGAAGUAUCGUAGUCUUGACGGUUCUUGUAAUAACUUGAAACGUUCCUCCUCGGGAAAAGCAUCCACGGCUCUAUAAACGUUUGCUCUUAAUAACUAUAUGGAUAGCUUUAAUGAAGUUUUCGAAGAUUCUUUUUCGUCUUACAAACCAAGUCCUAGAUAGCUGAGGGUUGAAUUUGUCAAAGACGAGCACUCACCAGAUUACUUCAAAACUAUGGCAAUGGCGUACUGGACGAUUUUUGUAGGCCAUGAUUAAUCUCACGCGGAAAUUUCUAGAAUGAUGAAUAGUAAUAAGUCCGUGAGCUGUUGUUCAAAUAGCCGGAAGGAGCUCAUGCCUCGAGACAUACACCUCGAGUUGUGCUUGCAAGUAGUGAUACCGGGUAAAGAUCCAUUUUUCAGAAACCAUAUUCGUUUUAUGAACUACGGUCGUUCGGUGCCAGCUGUGUGUUCCGAUUGUACUUUUGACCCAAGGAACAAAAUACAACACAACCUUGUACUGUAAUAAGCUUCCAAACCAAUAAAAACAAUUGAUUAAAAAUUCUAAAAAAAAAUGUUGGAUUCAAAUACCAAAGUAUACUGAAGCAUGUAAUAUACUAGUAAUUGAACAAAUUGUCUUCAUUAAAUGUUUAUGAAGUGCAGUUCUUAGCCCUAAUACUAAACUCAAUAAAUGUGUUGUAAUGGACAUUAAUGUUAUGGAAUACCUAUAAAUACCAACAUGUUCCUACACAUCUCAAAUAAAAAUUUAUAUACGGAAGGCCGAAUGAUCAACGCAAGUCUUUCACUAAAGGAACAUUACAACCGACCAACUGCAGGUUUACUAUUAAAUUACAUGGAUCAGCUUGUCAGAGGGCUAUCUACGCAGAAUACACAAAAAAUUGAUAUGCUAUUUACUAAAACGCUUACAAAUUACUUAUACAGUGUUUAUCCAAACCACGCGUUUGGAAUGGACAUCGUUAUUAUUAGAGAACAGUUUAUAAGAACUAGAAUGGCAGAUAGAUAUUUUUACGAUUUACCAAAUAUAUUCAAUGAAUAUCAACUGACAGGAAUCAGAAAAGUGACGCUUGCCAGAAUCUUUUGUGAUAACAGCAUUAAUGUCAGAAUGAUGCAGAAAAAAGUAUUUUUGAUACCUGCAAUGGCUGAUUUGCAACUCUGUAAUUCCCAAUUAAUUCCAAAAGUCAACAUCAAUCACUGGUCAGAGAUGGUCGAUACAUUUCAAAAAUAACUUUAAAUUUAAUAAUCAAUAAUCAGUGGAAGUAUCUUCACUGGAUGGUUUGUUCCCUCAAGUAACUCAAGCCAUUGCGUUUAAUUUUAUUUAAAAAACCUACAUUAGGCUUAUUGUACUUUUUUUUAGUAUAGAUUGUGUAAGUUAUAGAUUAAAAAAAAUAAUCAAUAA